rnacentral:rRNA from 1 species
CGAAAGCCUGACGGAGCAACGCCGCGUGUGGGAAGAAGGCCUUUGGGCUGUCAACCACUUUUCUCAGGGAAGAAGUUCUGACGGUACCUGAGGAAUCAGCCUCGGCUAACUCCGUGCCAGCAGCCGCGGUAAUACGGAGGAGGCAAGCGUUAUUCGGAAUUAUUGGGCGUAAAGCGUCCGCAGGGGGCUCAUCAAGUCUGCUGUCAAAGGUCGGAGCUCAACUCCGGUUCGGCAGUGGAAACUGGAUAGCUAGAGGUCGGUAGGGGCAAAGGGAAUUCCCAGUGUAGCGGUGAAAUGCGUAGAUAUUGGGAAGAACACCGGUGGCGAAAGCGCUCUACUGGGUCGCACCUGACCCUCAGGGACGAAAGCUAAGGUAGCG